ACGAACGCUGGCGGCGUGCCUAAUACAUGCAAGUCGAGCGGAAUGAUGAAGAAGCUUGCUUCUUCUGAUUUUAGCGGCGGACGGGUGAGUAACACGUGGGCAACCUACCUUGUAGAUUGGGAUAACUCCGGGAAACCGGGGCUAAUACCGAAUAAUCCAUUUUGCUUCAUGGCGAGAUGUUGAAAGACGGUUUCGGCUGUCACUACAAGAUGGGCCCGCGGCGCAUUAGCUAGUUGGUAGGGUAAUGGCCUACCAAGGCGACGAUGCGUAGCCGACCUGAGAGGGUGAUCGGCCACACUGGGACUGAGACACGGACCAGACUCCUACGGGAGGCAGCAGUGGGGAAUCUUCCACAAUGGACGAAAGUCUGAUGGAGCAACGCCGCGUGAGUGAAGAAGGUUUUCGGAUCGUAAAACUCUGUUGUAAGGGAAGAACACGUACGAGAGUAACUGCUCGUACCUUGACGGUACCUUAUUAGAAAGCCACGGCUAACUACGUG
rnacentral:rRNA from 1 species